GGAAAGUCGGCGUGGGCGAGCGCUUCGCCAAUCUGGUCAGAUCCGAAAGGAAGCAGCCACAACGAAUUCAUUCGGGUCAUGUUCGGCUUUCUACU
rnacentral:SRP_RNA from 1 species